UAAGAAACCAAACCAAAAAAUGGAGGACAAUGGUGAAUUAUAGCUCAUUGCUUGAACAAAUACUAUGAACCUAAAACAAUACCCUCCCUAGUGAGAUUGGUUACACGAAGAACUGCUUGAGCACUCAAAGGUGAGAGCUUUGAUUGACAGAAAUGCUCCCAGGAUAUUGUUUCUGGGUCCUCACUCACGGUAAUUGUUUCUGGGUCUUCAUUCACUACUGGUGGGGGGAUAACAUUGAAUGCUUUUUCGUAGAUAUUUUGCAGUUCUAACAACAGUGAACGAGCGGCCUCCCUCGACUCAGGAAGCUGGUCACUGAGCUGCGAUGCAGCUAUUCGGAUCAAGUUCUCAAUUCCAUAUGCUUUAAUUCCCUCUACUCCCAGACGUGGUACACUUCGAGAAAAGCAGCUUGAAGCUUUUGCUCGAAUUCUAGGAUUUCUGUGUUUCAAAUUUGGUUGCAACUUCGGUA
rnacentral:misc_RNA from 1 species